UACGUAGGCAGCAAGCGUUGUUCGGAGUUACUGGGCGUAAAGGGUGCGUAGGUGGCUCUAUAAGUAUGGUGUGAAAUCUCCCGGCUUAACUGGGAGGGUGCGCCGUAGACUGUGGGGCUAGAGUGUGGGAGAGGAAAGUGGAAUUCCUGGUGUAGCGGUGAAAUGCGCAGAUAUCAGGAGGAACACCGGUGGCGAAGGCGGGACUCUGGGCCGAUACUGACGCUGAGGAGCGAAAGCGUGGGGAGCAAACAGG
rnacentral:rRNA from 1 species